GCCACGAUAGCUCAGUUGGUAGAGCAGCGGUUUCGUAAACCGCAGGUCGUCGGUUCGAGUCCGACUCGUGGCUCCA
rnacentral:tRNA from 3 species